GUCCAAAUACAUGCCGUAUUAAAGCAAAACCCCGAAUGAAUCAUUAAAUCAGUUAUGGUUCCUUGGCUCAUACCUCACUACUUGGAUAACUGUGGGAAUUCUAGAGCUAAUACAUACAGUACAGCUCUGAUCUCCAGGGGACGAGAGCUUUUAUUAGAUCAAAACCAACGGACUUCGUGUCCGUAUGAUGUGGUGAUUCUGCGUAACUUUGGACUGAUCGCACAUUGUGGAAAUAUAAAACCUGAAAUUAAACAAAAAUAACAAAUUACGCCUUAAUUGGCGGAU
rnacentral:ncRNA from 1 species